rnacentral:rRNA from 1 species
AGAACGAACGCUGGCGGCAUGCCUAACACAUGCAAGUCGAACGAGACCUUCGGGUCUAGUGGCGCACGGGUGCGUAACGCGUGGGAACCUGCCUUUAGGUUCGGAAUAACUCCUCGAAAGGGGUGCUAAUACCGAAUAAUGUCUUCGGACCAAAGAUUUAUCGCCUUUAGAUGGGCCCGCGUUGGAUUAGCUAGUUGGUGGGGUAAAGGCCUACCAAGGCGACGAUCCAUAGCUGGUCUUAGAGGAUGAUCAGCCACACUGGGAUUGAGACACGGCCCAGACUCCUACGGGAGGCAGCAGUGGGGAAUAUUGGACAAUGGGCGAAAGCCUGAUCCAGCAAUGCCGCGUGAGUGAUGAAGGCCUUAGGGUUGUAAAGCUCUUUUACCCGGGAUGAUAAUGACAGUACCGGGAGAAUAAGCUCCGGCUAACCCGUGCCAGCAGCCGC